rnacentral:rRNA from 1 species
AUACAACAGCCCGCCAACAGUCCUGAUCUAAAUGUUCUUGACCUCAGUUUUUUCAACUCGCUGCAAUCCCUAACAGAUUGUCUGAGUCCUAAAACACUACAAGACCUUAUUAAGGGUGUUUUGGAGGAAUUUGAAGGCUAUGAGGUUUACAAGCUCAAUAGAAUUUUCCUAACUCUGUAGACAUGCAUGAUUGAGAUCCUGAACCAUGCAGGGAAUGAGUAUAAAACACCACAUGUGAACAAAGAAAGGCUUAAGGGUCUUGGGCAGCUACCUCCAAGACUAUCAUGCCCUCGAGAGGUUUACACGAACGCCCGACACAAUCUAGAGCUAAUGGAAAGGGUUCAGUAA